GAUGAACGCUGGCGGCGUGCCUAACACAUGCAAGUCGAGCGAGAUCUUCUGGAACGAAACUUCGGUCUAGCGAAGGAAGUGGAAGCGGCGGACGGGUGAGUAACGCGUAGGCAACCUGCCCCAUACAGAGGGAUAGCCUCGGGAAACCGGGAUUAAAACCUCAUAACGCGAUCUGGUCACAUGGCCGGAUCGCCAAAGAUUCAUCGGUAUGGGAGGGGCCUGCGUCUGAUUAGCUAGUUGUUGAGGUAACGGCUCACAAAGGCGACGAUCAGUGGCCGACCUGAGAUGGGAAUCGGCCACAUAGGAACUGAGACACGGGCCAAACUCCUACGGGAGGCAGCAGUGGGGAAUAUUGCACAAUGGGCGAAAGCCUGAUGCAGCAACGCCGCGUGAGUGAUGAAGGCCUUUGGGUCGUAAAGCUCUGUCCUAAGGGAAGAAACAAAUGACGGUACCUUAGGAGGAAGCCCCGGCUAACUACGUGCCAGCCGCCGCGGUAAUAC
rnacentral:rRNA from 1 species